rnacentral:rRNA from 1 species
AAUGAACGUUGGCGGCGUGGAUUAGGCAUGCAAGUCGUGCGGAAAGGCUCCUUCGGGAGUACUCGAGCGGCGAAAGGGAGAGUAACGCGUGGAUAUCUACCCCCUGGCCUGGGAUAGCGGCGGGAAACUGCCGGUAAUACCAGAUAAUAUCUGCGGAUCAAAGGUGUGAUUCCGCCGGGGGAUGAGUCAGCGUCCUAUUAGCUAGUUGGUGAGGUAACGGCCCACCAAGGCUGAGAUGGGUACCGGGUGUGAGAGCAUGGCCCGGCUCACUGGGGCUGAGACACGGCCCAGACACCUACGGGUUGCUGCAGUCGAGAAUCUUCGGCAAUGGGCGCAAGCCUGACCGAGCGACGCCGCGUGCGGGAUGAAGGCCUUCGGGUUGUAAACCGCUGUCAGAGGGGAGGAAAUGCAUGGGGGUUCUCCCUCAUGUUUGACCUAUCCUCAGAGGAAGUACGGGCUAAGUUCGUGCCAGCAGCCGCCGUAA